AACGAACGUUGGCGGCGUGGAUUAGGCAUGCAAGUCGUACGAGUUUCCUCUGGGUAACUGGAUGAAAAAAGUGGCGCAAGUGGCAGUAAGGCAUGGAUAAUCUACCCUGAUGACCGGGAUAGCUGUCCCAACGGGCAGGUAAUACCGGAUGAGCUGGUGUGGCCGCUUGGUUCUGCCAGGAAAGGCGCAAGCCGUGUCGGGAGGAAUCCGUGUGAUAUUAGCUAGUUGGUGAGGUAAAGGCUCACCAAGGCGAAGAUGUCUAGCGCGUGUGAGAGCACGACCCGCGCCAUGGGACAUGGGACACGGGCCAGACUCCAACGGGAGGCGGCAGGCGGGGAUCUGCGGCAAUGGGCGAAAGCCUGACCGAGGGAGGCCGCGUGAGCGAUGAAGGCCAUUAGGUUGUAAAGCGCUGUGGAGGGGGAACAAGCCGCAAGGUGGCGUGACCCCUGGAGGAAGCACGGGCUAAGUUCGUG
rnacentral:rRNA from 1 species